rnacentral:rRNA from 1 species
CAGUAGCCGCGGGAAUACGAAGGGUGCAAGCGUUAAUCGGAAUUACUGGGCGUAAAGGGAGCGUAGGCGGCGUGGUAAGUCAGAUGUGAAAUCCCGGGGCUCAACCCCGGAACUGCAUCCGAUACUGCCAUGCUUGAGGGUUGGAGAGGUAGCUGGAAUUCUCGGUGUAGCAGUGAAAUGCGUGGAUAUCGAGAGGAACACUCGUGGCGAAGGCGAGCUACUGGACAACAUCUGACGCUGAGGCUCGAAGGCUAGGGUAGCGAAAGGGAUUAGAUACCCCUGUAGUCCCUGUCUCUUAUAC